rnacentral:rRNA from 1 species
GUGGCGGACGGGUGAGUAACGCGUAAAGNUUUUGCCUUACAGACUGGGACAACAUUUGGAAACGAAUGCUAAUNCCGGAUAUUAUGACUGAGUCGCAUGAUUUGGUUAUGAAAGCUAUAUGCGCUGUGAGAGAGCUUUGCGUCCCAUUAGUUAGUUGGUGAGGUAACGGCUCACCAAGACGAUGAUGGGUAGCCGGCCUGAGAGGGUGAACGGCCACAAGGGGACUGAGACACGGCCCUUACUCCUACGGGAGGCAGCAGUGGGGAAUAUUGGACAAUGGACCAAAAGUCUGAUCCAGCAAUUCUGUGUGCACGAUGAAGUUUUUCGGAAUGUAAAGUGCUUUCAGUUGGGAAGAAGUCAGUGACGGUACCAACAGAAAGAAGCGACGGCUAAAUACGUGCCAGCAGCCGCGGUAAUACGUAUGUCGCAAGCGUUAUCCGGAUUUAUUGGGCGUAAAAGCGCGUCUAGGCGGUUUAGUAAGUCUGAUGUGAAAAUGCGGGGCUCAACCCCGUAUUGCGUUGGAAACUGCUAAACUAGAGUACUGGAGAGGUAGGCGGAACUACAAGUGUAGAGGUGAAAUUCGUAGAUAUUUGUAGGAAUGCCGAUGGGGAAGCCAGCCUACUGGACAGAUACUGACGCUAAAGCGCGAAAGCGUGGGUAGCAAACAGGAUUAGAUACCCUGGUAGUCCACGCCGUAAACGAUGAUUACUAGGUGUUGGGGGUCGAACCUCAGCGCCCAAGCUAACGCGAUAAGUAAUCCGCCUGGGGAGUACGUACGCAAGUAUGAAACUCAAAGGAAUUGACGGGGACCCGCACAAGCGGUGGAGCAUGUGGNUUUAAUUCGACGCAACGCGAGGAACCUUACCAGCGUUUGACAUCCCAAGAAGUUAACAGAGAUGUUUUCGUGCCUCUUCGGAGGAACUUGGUGACAGGUGGUGCAUGGCUGUCGUCAGCUCGUGUCGUGAGAUGUUGGGUUAAGUCCCCCAACGAGCGCAACCCCUUUCGUAUGUUACCAUCAUUAAGUUGGGGACUCAUGCGAGACUGCCUGCGAUGAGCAGGAGGAAGGUGGGGAUGACGUCAAGUCAUCAUGCCCCUUAUACGCUGGGCUACACACGUGCUACAAUGGGUAGUACAGAGAGCUGCAAACCUGCGAGGGUAAGCUAAUCUCAUAAAACUAUUCUUAGUUCGGAUUGUACUCUGCAACUCGAGUACAUGAAGUUGGAAUCGCUAGUAAUCGCAAAUCAGCUAUGUUGCGGUGAAUACGUUCUCGGGUCUUGUACACACCGCCCGUCACACCACGAGAGUUGGUUGCACCUGAAGU